rnacentral:rRNA from 1 species
AACGAACGCUGGCGGCAGGCCUAACACAUGCAAGUCGAACGCCGUAGCAAUACGGAGUGGCAGACGGGUGAGUAACGCGUGGGAACAUACCCUCCGGUUCGGAAUAACUCAGGGAAACUUGAGCUAAUACCGGAUACGUCCAAGGUUUUAAUCGGCCUUGGAGAAAGAUUUAUCGCUGGAGGAUUGGCCCGCGUCUGAUUAGCUUGUUGGUGAGGUAAUGGCUCACCAAGGCGACGAUCAGUAGCUGGUCUGAGAGGAUGAUCAGCCACAUUGGGACUGAGACACGGCCCAAACUCCUACGGGAGGCAGCAGUGGGGGAAUAUUGGACAAUGGGGCGAAAGCCUGAUCCAGCCAUGCCGCGUGAGUGAUGAAGGCCUUAGGGUUGUAAAGCUCUUUUACCCGGGAAGAUAAUGACGGUACCGGGAGAAUAAGCCCCGGCUAACUUCGUGCCAGCAGCCGCAGUAAU